GACGAACCGUGCGAACGUUGUUCGGAAUCACUGGGCUUAAAGGGCGCGUAGGCGGGCCCGCCAGUCAGGGGUGAAAUCCCACGGCUCAACCGUGGCAGUGCCUCUGAUACUGCGGGCCUCGAGGGAGGUAGGGGCGUGCGGAACUUCCGGUGGAGCGGUGAAAUGCGUAGAUAUCGGAAGGAACACCGGUGGCGAAAGCGGCGCGCUGGACCUCUUCUGACGCUGAGGCGCGAAAGCUAGGGUAGCAAACGGG
rnacentral:rRNA from 1 species